CGUCAGUCCCGCUGUCUGUGUCAAAUCAGAAAAAGAACCUGACCGCGAGGACUAGAGUAAGAGGCUGUGAAGACUGCCGCCGCCUCGCACGACCCACACCGUCGAGUGUCCGGAGAUGGACGGGAAAAGCUACCACAGUGGCAUGGCCUUAUUUCCUGAUCUUAACAGCAUUUGUUUGCCAUGAGAGGCUGCAUGACUUGGAGCCAGUCAGUCUACGGUGACAGCAAAGCAGUUGUGACUCUAGUGUACUGCCACCAAAAACACUUUCUUUUCCGUCUCUCAGCCUUAGCAGGAUCAUCUGAGCCACUGCCAGUUCAGAGUGAGCUGGGGCUGCUUUUCCAGGAGGGCAGUUGGGGACCUGACUUUUGAGGAGAUUCUGAGGUUUACCGAAGGAGCAAACCCUAUGGGGUUAGACAGAGUUUUGUGAAAUCUGAGCUCUGACUGUAGACAUUAAAUGGCAGUGUAUAAAGGAGGCACCAUCUGGAGCAUUUGUCCAGCCUGCAAUGAUGCCGUUUGUCUGAGAAGGUUGUAGGGAUCGUUUCUGGUUUGAAUCUCAGCCCUCUUCCCAGCUCAGCCACCAGCCAUCUGGAAUUGUGGGAGAGGUCAGACGGCUGCAAAGCCUCUAUGUGGAAUUGGAACUAAAUACACAUAUUUAUCAGUAUUUAAUGGAAGACUGCAGGAUGCUUGCAGAGUCUACAGAAGGCACUGGCAAGGUGGCUCUUUUAGUCUGGGAACAAGAACUGGGCAAUGGAUGCCUCAGGGGCUG
rnacentral:lncRNA from 1 species